rnacentral:rRNA from 1 species
GACGAACGCUGGCGGCGUGCUUAACACAUGCAAGUCGAACGGAAAGGCCCUGCUUUUGUGGGGUGCUCGAUUGGCGAACGGGUGAGUAACACGUGAGUAACCUGCCCUUGACUUUGGGAUAACUUCAGGGAACUGGGGCUAAUACCGGAUAGGAGCUCCUGCUGCAUGGUGGUGGUUGGAAAGUUUCGGCGGUUGGGGAUGGACUCGCGGCUUAUCAGCUUGUUUGUGGGGUAGUGGCUUACCAAGGCUUUGACGGGUAGCCGGCCUGAGAGGGUGACCGGCCACAUUGGGACUGAGAUACGGACCAGAAUGCUACGGGAGGCAGCAGUGGGGAAUAUUGCACAAUGGGCGGAAGCGUGAUGCAGCAACGCCGCGUGCGGGAUGCCGGGCUUCGGGUUGUAAACCGCUUUCGACUGUGACGAAGCGUGAGUGACGGUAAUGAGUAAAGAAGCACCGGCUAACUACGUG